rnacentral:rRNA from 1 species
AUCAUGGCUCAGGAUGAACGCUAGCUACAGGCUUAACACAUGCAAGUCGAGGGGCAGCAUGAUCUUAGCUUGCUAAGAUGAUGGCGACCGGCGCACGGGUGAGUAACGCGUAUCCAACCGUUCCGCACAGUAGGGAAUAGCCCGGCGAAAGUCGGAUUAAUGCCCUAUGUUUUCCCUUGAUGGCAUCUGAUUGGGAACAAAGAUUUAUCGCUGUGCGAUGGGGAUGCGUCUGAUUAGGUAGUCGGCGGGGUAACGGCCCACCGAGCCUUCGAUCAGUAGGGUUCUGAGAGGAAGGUCCCCCCACAUUGGAACUGAGACACGGUCCAAACUCCUACGGGAGGCAGCAGUGAGGAAUAUUGGUCAAUGGAGGCAACUCUGAACCAGCCAAGUAGCGUUGCAGGAUGACGGCCCUAUGGGUUGUAAACUGCUUUUGCCGGGGAAUAACUGCCAUUACGUGUAAUGGUUUGCAUGUACCCGGAGAAUAAGGACCGGCUAAUUCCGUGCCAGCCGCUGC